rnacentral:rRNA from 1 species
GGAAGGUGGGGAUGACGUCAAGUCAUCAUGGCCCUUACGACCAGGGCUACACACGUGCUACAAUGGCGCAUACAAAGAGAAGCGACCUCGCGAGAGCAAGCGGACCUCAUAAAGUGCGUCGUAGUCCGGAUUGGAGUCUGCAACUCGACUCCAUGAAGUCGGAAUCGCUAGUAAUCGUGGAUCAGAAUGCCACGGUGAAUACGUUCCCGGGCCUUGUACACACCGCCCGUCACACCAUGGGAGUGGGUUGCAAAAGAAGUAGGUAGCUUAACCUUCGGGAGGGCGCUUACCACUUUGUGAUUCAUGACUGGGGUGAAGUCGUAACAAGGUAACCGUAGGGGAACCUGCGGUUGGAUCACCUCCUUACCUUAAAGAAGC